rnacentral:lncRNA from 1 species
GUUGUCUUCAGGAAAAUUUUAUUUGCUUCCUGCUAGGCCCCAGUCUAAAUGUGAUUACACUUGGGAUCCAAGUAGUUAUCGCCCUUAACCAGAAGACAGGAAAUGAGUCAUUCAACAGUAAUGAGUCCAAGAGCUGAUGUUCCAAACUCCAGAAGGGACUCACUCGCAACAAUUCCAAGAAAAUAAGGCACAUGACGUCAAACACUGGAUAAUCCAUAGUAUGGUCCCCUCCAUAUUUUAA